UGGGGAAUAUUGGACAAUGGGCGAAAGCCUGAUCCAGCAAUACCGAGUGGGUGAUGAAGGCCUUAGGGUUGUAAAGCCCUUUUCAGCAGGGAAGAUAAUGACGGUACCUGACCAAGAAAGCCCCGGCUAACUCCGUGCCAGCAGCCGCGGUAAGACGGAGGGGGCUAGCGUUGUUCGGAAUUACUGGGCGUAAAGAGUGCGUAGGCGGUUUAGUAAGUUGGAAGUGAAAGCCCGAGGCUUAACCUCGGAACUGCUUUCAAAACUACUAAUCUAGAGUGUAGUAGGGGAUGAUGGAAUUCCUAGUGUAGAGGUGAAAUUCUUAGAUAUUAGGAGGAACACCGGUGGCGAAGGCGGUCAUCUAGGCUACAACUGACGCUGAGGCACGAAAGCGUGGGGAGCA
rnacentral:rRNA from 1 species